CCCGAGGGCGCGGGGGGAGUCUCGUGCGCGCGCGGCCGGGCCUGGCACGGCCGCUGCCUCCCGACACCCCCGGCAGGGCUGGGCAGCCCUGGAAGUCCCUGGAAAUUCCUGCCGAAUCCCAUGUCGCCGCCGCCCACUUGUCUCCCGUGGGCGGCUAAGGAUGGAAAACACCGUGCUAUCGCGCGGGAGGGCCGAGCCGCGGGGGGCGGAGCGGCGGCAGGGGACGCGCGGCUGAGCCGGAGGCCCGGAUUGAAAAACAUGCGCAAGUAGACAUGGAUAUCCAGUUAGGAAGAUCAUUCUGCCAUCUCCCUUCAGAGCUGAGAAGAAGCUUCAUCAUCCAGGUCUAGCAGAAAAUUCUAUUCAAGCAUGUACAGUUCUCCAAAUCUGCUCUAAGUCCUGUCAUCCAUUGUCAAAACAAAAGUAAGGUGAAUGAAAAGACUCUGUGUGCAAAGGCAUAGAAACAAAUUCUAAUGUAGCUGUUUUAAUUAUGGAUAUUUACUGUUCUGUGGGUUACCUGCCAUUCAUUUUCCCUGCUGACAAACAUCUGAAGACGUGUUUUGAAUGUCACUUGACUUCUUCAACCACAUUUGUCAUACUAGUAUCUAUUUAUAUAGAGAUUCAGUCAGCUUGAGAAAAAAUAAGAAGAUGGUGGCCCUGAGAUCUAAAGAUUCAGAAUCUUCUUUGCUGGAAGUUACUUCUGCCUGAGUUUUUAAACUGAUGCUUUCUCAAGGCCAGGAAAUCAAAUAAAAAAAAAAUCAGGAUGUAAUGUUGUGUCUGCAUGUAGUCCAGAAAGCCCAUGUAAAAAAAUCCUCCAAUAGAGCAGUGAAAGAGAGAUGAACCAAUGUGGAAUAUGUUAUAAUCAAAAAGCCUUGGAAAUAUAAACAGAUAACCAGAUCCAUAAAGCUAAGGUCUACCUCAUCUUCAUGUCACUAUCAGGAUGGCUAACUUUGGGAUUGAUGAGCCAGAUUGGUUUCGGCAGUAUUCAACACCAAAAGCAGCAUGACAACCCCUUUUUCAUUUACUACUGGAGCUUCAUCAUCUGCUCUUCCUGGGGAAAAAAAAUCAUGCUGACAAAGACUUCUUUUGAAAAGCUGGAAGAGGAACAUUUGCUGUGAUAUAUUGAUCCUUUGGAAGCAGCUGAUAGUGGCGAAGCCCGCUCCAUCACCUAGGAGUCUGACAAUCCUGCACAGAAAGGCCAAAUACAGUGUACUUCACUAAGGAUCUCUAUCCCUGCUAAAGGUGGAUUAUUUCAAUGCUCUAAAGGCCUUCAGCACCUACAGAGGUGUGACCGACAGGGAGCAGUCAGUGGUGUUUGUGCUCAGUUGGUGCCAGAAGGCAGCUGAACCCGCAGCAGACUUGGACCUGAAGCCAGACAGUAUGUGGCAGGUCAGUGGAAAGGAAGUCUUCUUGCCUCAUCCUCGCUACAGCACCCUGGGUCCUCCUCUGCCUCCUGGAGAUGCCAUCUUCCCCAGAAACUCCUGGACAUGAUCCAAGGAGAGAAGAAUCACAGCUGAAGGACAGAGCAGACAGAAGGGAAAUGGAAGAUCCAGCAAGGAAACAGCACAGCAAGCAUGGGUGGGUGACUCCUGAGGAGAGCACCAUCAAAAUCACAGCCAAAACAGGAGAGAAGGAAAAAAAACACCCUUCCCUAAGGUUUGAGAGAUGGCAGUGCAGCCACUUGGGAAGUCACGGAGUUGUUAGUUGGAAAGCAAGACUGGAUGUGAAGGCUGGGUCUGCUAUGAUACUUGGGACUGGAAGACCCUCAAGUUCUCUUCUGUCUUUCCUUUUCAUUUUGAGUUUUCUCAGAUUUAAAAGUAUGCUCUUCUAGUAUCUGUUUAGAAAUAAACUGGUUUCUAAUCAUAUAUGUAAAAAAACCAACCUUUUAUUAUUUCUGGGAGUGAUUACUUCCAAAAUGAGAUUGAUACGCAGCUACCUUAUAUUGUGGCUUCUUCAAGAUGAGUAUCUAAAGAGUUCCAGAGUACAUCUCCAGUCCUUCUUGGUAGCAGUCACUGCAGCAUUUCACUGUGCUCCAGAAGGAGGGCAUGGGUUCAGGUUCUGCGGCUUCGUCCUGUUGCUCCUUUUGCUGAAGUCAGUUGACUGUAGAAACUGAUCAGGCAACAACUUGACCUGUAGCUGACUUGCUUACGCCUUCCUCCUAGCUGAGCAUUGUGUAUUCACAGCUGGAUUUCAAAAUAUAGCUAUCCAGGGAGUCUCAUGUCUGGAUAUGCUCAGAACAAAAUAAGAAAUGUCAGAGCCACAUUUUACAUGGUGCUGUGGUCAGGUUAAUAAAUCUUGCAAGCUUUCCAAAUAGUAUGUUGUUGUGCUUGAGCAGGACUUGCCACCUCAAGCACAAUGUCAUCUUAGAUAUUGUUAUGUAGCUUCUGCAUCUUCAAAGAUUUGCAUCCAGUCAGCUGAAAAAACACAGUGACCAGGCUCAUUUUCUCUGUAGAAUAGCAAGUAAUGUACCCUAAAAAAAAAUUGUAUUUGUGCCAAAAAUAUGUACACAGAAAUGGUAGCUAUGUUUCCAAGCUUUAGGUUUAUUUUUUAGCAAACUAACAAAAGUGGCUUUGUUUUAAAAUCAACAACCAUGUCUAUAAAAAGGUUUGAUACACCAGAAACACAUUAAAAUAGCCUUAUAUGAAUGCACAGUAUGCCUCCAGUGAUAAUACUAACACUGUGCCUUGUGCACAUAAUCUUAUUUGCAUGAAGGACUAGUAGAGUUCUGCUUUUUGUGAUCAUAUACAUGGUGGAAAAUUGACCAGAUUAAUGUUCUCAUGACAAACUGAGAUUUCAGGUACACCAAUUGGUGUUUUAAGGACCAGUGUAAAUAAAUCCUGUGUUUUUAGCUGGCAGUGAAAUGGCUCUGAACCUGUAAAACAGAAAUGAAACAUAGGCUGUAUUUGUAGGAUGUUGAGGAUGGAAAUAAGAGAAAGGCAAUCAGUAAUUUUGAAGCAUUGCUAGAAUGCUUCCUGUACUCAAACUCAACCACAAACCCCAGGAAAAACGUAUGUUUAAGAUUUCUUAAGAAAUGCAAUGUGCCCUGUUUCCUAGGGGAGGGAAUCUGGCUUAGCAGCGUUGUGCAACGCAGCUAGACUGCUGCCAGCUACUGAGGAGCUCUCUGAACCACCCAGCAGCUAACAAAGAGGCUGCAAUGAAGGGGUAGGCCGGCUGUGCUUCCUGCUGUAAGGAAGCUACCUUUUGUUACUUGAAAGCACUUUUCACAUUUUUCAUGUGUUUGGGCAGAAAUCUACCCAGAAUUUUCUUCCCCAGGAGAAAUUUCCUUUUUUUUGAAGUUGGAAGACUCUGUAAUUCAGGUGGAGAAACAGAAACUAGCUGUGAGGAGUCCAGAGAUUUCAGUUAAACCUCAUUCACAUGGAAAUUAUUUGGAAUUAAUUUGCCAGUUCUCAGACCUAUCCAAACUGAAGAGACUUUAAGGUGCUCACCCCAGGCCCAGAGCACAGUUUAGCUGAUAGUGCCAGUGAUGAUUUUUGAGCAACCACUCUUGCUCAAAAUAUGCAUAUGCAUGUUUUCAGGAUCUGAGAGGCAGGUUGCAGUCAAAGAACAGAGAAAGAACAAGAAUGUUCUCCCAUACUGAAAGGAAAACCUGCACUGACCUCCAGAAUGAUGAAAUAGUGAAGAACUUCCUGAGAUACUGACAGGAACAAACAGAAGCUUCUGCCUCUUCAGUCUACUGUAUCUGAGACGUGAAGAUAGGUUGGUUUUGUCAUUACCUAGUAUUGGUGUUGUCAUGCAACAUGCAUGUACUCUGGAGUUUCUAGUAUCAUUUUGAGAUGAUAAUGACCUUGAGAAAAGUGAAUUACAGAUUUGAUAUAGUAAGUUUUCUAGAUGUUCUAGUGUAGCGCUAAUUUUUAGUGGAGAAGAAGGAAGCUUUCAAUUCUUUCUAAAUUUAAGAAGACAAUAGAUCUGAAAGAAAGACUGUUAUGAUUCUGUGGUGUAGGUUUUGAACUCUACAGUCACAUAGUUUGCUAUUUUUCAUUUACAUUCAAGUCAUUUGGAUUCGAUUUUGAGGACAGAAAACAGAUCAGAAAUCCACAGUAUGGUUUCAAAAGCUUCUUUGAAGUGAAAUUUGACUCAUGUGGUUAUUGCUACUGGUUUUGUUGCUCGAACUGUCUGAAAGAGUUUCCUAAGUAGAUUUAUUGAAAAUAAUUUCUUAAAACCCAGUCCUCCCUACGACACCUACAAAAACAAAACAGAUGAAAUAAGUAUUAAGAGAGAAAAAUAAUACUAAAGAGUCUAAUUAUACUUAAUAAGAUAAAAAAUUAUGGAAACUGUCCCAAUGAUGUCUUUUCCAGUUAUUUAGAAAGAAGAUAACAUUGAAACACAAGUAAUUCCUAUUACUACUUCAGUAUUUAGGGCUAGUGUUAAGAGGGGGAAAAUGGAGAUUUAAAGAAAUUGGAGAAAAAAAAAUAUAUUUUAUUUCUGAAAAUUAACCAAAGCUACUCUCUGUGGUGUAUAUUGUAGAACAACAGCAUGCUGUAGUGAACAAUAGCAUGUUGCAGUGAAAGAGAACAACAUAACAUAAUUGCUUGUAUGUCACAUUGUUACUGGUCCCCUGUCUGAAAUCUCAUGGCCCAGUGACACCUCGGCCCACGAAGGGCCAGUAAAAUUCGCUGCAAAAUAAAUGACACUAAUAAAAUUCCAUUUGGUGGGACCGUUUAAUUUUGACUCUGCUACAUAAAAGCAAAACACAUAUGUAUAUAUUUUAACUUGAGUAUUCAACUUCUUCCUCUCUUCCUUCACAUGGAAAAACAUAUUACCCCACUGUCCAGUGAAUCAAUCU